rnacentral:rRNA from 1 species
GAUGAACGCUGGCGGCGUGCCUAAUACAUGCAAGUCGAGCGAACAGACGAGGAGCUUGCUCCUCUGACGUUAGCGGCGGACGGGUGAGUAACACGUGGAUAACCUACCUAUAAGACUGGGAUAACUUCGGGAAACCGGAGCUAAUACCGGAAAAUAUAUUGAACCGCAUGGUUCAUUAGUGAAAGAGGGUUUUGCUGUCACUUAUAGAUGAAUCGGCGCCGCAUUAGCUAGUUGGUAAGGUAACGGCUUACCAAGGCAACGAUGCGUAGCCGACCUGAGAGGGUGAUCGGCCACACUGGAACUGAGACACGGUCCAGACCCCUACGGGAGGCAGCAGUAGGGAAUCUUCCGCAAUGGGCGAAAGCCUGACGGAGCAACGCCGCGUGAGUGAUGAAGGUCUUCGGAUCGUAAAACUCUGUUAUUAGGGAAGAACAAAUGUGUAAGUAACUAUGCACGUCUUGACGGUACCUAAUCAGAAAGCCACGGCUAACUACGUG